rnacentral:rRNA from 1 species
UACAGAGGUGGCAAGCGUUGUUCGGAAUUACUGGGCGUAAAGGGCGAGUAGGCGGCUAUCUAAGUCAGACGUGAAAUCCCCCGGCUUAACCUGGGAACUGCGUCUGAUACUGGACGGCUUGAGUUUGGGAGAGGGAUGCAGAAUUCCAGGUGUAGCGGUGAAAUGCGUAGAUAUCAGGAAGAACACCCGUGGCUAAGGCGGCUCUCUAGUACGGUACUGACGCCGAGACGCGAAAGCGUGGGGAGCGAACAGG